UGCGUAGGUGGUUAUUUAAGUCCGUUGUGAAAGCCCUGGGCUCAACCUGGGAACUGCAGUGGAAACUGGACGACUAGAGUGUGGUAGAGGGUAGCGGAAUUCCUGGUGUAGCAGUGAAAUGCGUAGAGAUCAGGAGGAACAUCCAUGGCGAAGGCAGCUACCUGGACCAACACUGACACUGAGGCACGAAAGCGUGGGGAGCAAACA
rnacentral:rRNA from 1 species